rnacentral:snoRNA from 1 species
AUGCCGUGAUGAGGGCACUUUCGUAAUAACUCCCUGAAUCGCUCCUAUGCCUCGUAUAAAGAUUCUUCAUCAAGUUACUGAAAUGAAGUGAUUUCAUUUUGGAUCU